rnacentral:lncRNA from 1 species
UUAUCCUCCUUCAAAUAAAAAAAAAAGAGGAAAAAAGAAGAAAAAUGUAUUUUUAAUAAAUCUCCCAAAAUAAUUUUCAGACAUUGUUGGCAGUCUUUCUGUCUUUUUCCCUUUCUCCAUUCAGAACUUAUUUUUUUUUUUUUUUUUUUUUUUUUUAAUACUGACUAACGAUGAAACAUACUGGUUGAAGAAUUGGAACAGUUGGGAGAAAUGAGGGCUCACAAACAAGACAGAGUAGCUUUUUAUGUUAUUAAAACUGUUUUCCCCUUAAGGAACAGAUUGUUAUGUAAUAGAAGAAGGAAGACAUCAUGAUGACCUAUCAAACUGUUGUCUUGUGCGCCUCUCCUGACACUUGCAGUAACAUGGCUCAAAGCGAUAGUUACUACAAAUGCAAGGAAGGGCGAGGAGGGAGGAAAAUUCACUCCAGUUGCUUCCCUGAGAGAGUGUCAGCUGCCACUCUUCAAUAA